rnacentral:lncRNA from 1 species
CUUGGUGCCUGUGCACUCCUCCUGGUGGCCCCAUGAGCAGCAACAAUAAUCCAGCACCUGACACAGCCUGAAAGGCUGGCCCUGCUGUACUUCACACACUCGGUGUAAGGAAGAGACUCUUUACUGGGAGUGGUGAGGCUCUGGAACAAGGUGCUGUCCCAGAGGUGAUGGCUCCACAUCCCUGGAAGUGUCCAAAGCCAGGCUGGACAGGGCUCAGAGCAACCUGGGGUGGUGGAAGGUGUCCCUGCCCAUGGCAGGGGUGGAAUGAGAUGACCCUUAGAAGUCAACUCAGAGCAUUUCAGAAGAUGCACCCCUUUAACAGAGGAAGAACAACACAGGAUGUGGACUCCUACGAUCCAUCGCAGCACUGCCUGAAUAUAAAUAUCUGUGACAGGCUGCACAAGGAUGCUUUAAUGGCAGUUGUCAGAGACAUUUAAAAUGGAUUAGACCCUCUCAGUUUUUUUUCCUCUAAUAAUGAAUAUUUAGUGAGACUUUUAAAGCUGUUAGCUAUUAAUUAUAGAACCUAAAAAUAUGAUGGUGUUCAGUCAAGUAGGAAUCAGCACAUGACUGUAUGCAGAAGUAUGUUCUCUGUCUAGCUUUUUGUGACAUGGCUUACUACUUUACAUUUGCUUUAUAAAUACAAGAAAUUAUUUUUUAAUGAUGACAGCUGGUGAUGAAGCAGACUUGCCCUUGAAAGUUGUAAGCAGGCUGGGAAUAUUAACACUGAGGAGGUAAAAGGAGAGAUUAAUAGAUAAAUGUCCUGAUACUUAAAUAAUGUAUGAUAAAAUUAGAUUACCAUAAAUUUAGUUCCAUUGUAGAUAAUGGUAUUGUUCUGAGGCUAGAAAUCCAAGUGUGGCAAUGGAAGGUUAAUGCUUGCAUUAACAGAAAUGCAGCCCAUUGUCCUUUGCUGGUGUUGUUGCUGCUUUCUGCAGAUAAGAAAUCGCCUUUCUCUUUAAAUUAGUUUAUACUACCAAGGGUUACUUUUGCAUAUUGGAAAUAAAUAGGGUUAUAUUUAUACA